UGCCGUGACUUCACAUCCGUCUAGGUUUUAUAUCUGGUCGGUCUUCUCUGGGUCUUCUCCAGCCUCUCAGAAAACUGCUAUUAAUGUUAACUUUCGGACGCGAAAACAAAACCUGAAAGUAGAGAGAUAUUUCACAACCAGUGAUAGAUAAAGACAAAGGAUCAAGUUCGACCAGACGUGUGUAUUAUAUUGUGCAGGGAAAUUGCUUUCGUUUCAACAGACGUUAAUACCAGAUCAAAAUGGAUACCACACCAAAGGAUAAUCGCAAAGCUAAAAAGCCUAAAAUGGAGGACGACAGCAAAUACCUUCCAGAGCUUCUAGCUGAGAAAGAUAGUCUUGAUGCAUCGUUUACUCACGCAAUGAAGCUUCUAAAUGAAGAAAUUGAAAGGAUCCAGAAAGGAGAACCCAAGAAAGAAGCAGAGACCUACUUGGACCUCUUCAGCACAAAGAAUGUGAGGGUGAAGGAGAGGGUGUUGAUUCCUGUAAAGCAGUACCCACGUUUUAACUUUGUUGGGAAGAUCUUGGGACCACAGGGGAACACCAUCAAACGACUACAGGAGGACACAGGGGCAAAGAUAUCUGUUCUGGGCAGAGGAUCCAUGAGGGAUAAGAACAAGGAGGAAGAGCUUAGGAAGGGUGGAGAGCCCAAAUAUGCCCAUCUGGCCAUGGAGCUGCAUGUGUUCAUUGAGGUGUACGCUCCGAUUCCUGAGGCAUACCUGCGCAUGGCCCAUGCUAUGGAGGAAGUGAAGAAGUUCUUGGUUCCUGUUGAUAAUCUUGAGGACAUCCACCAGGAGCCGUACAUGGACAUAGGCGGCUACAUUAAUGGCUCUCAGGACCAAGGAGGCAGAGGCCGUGGCGGACCACCAGGCAGGGGGAGAGGAGCCCCACCACCCCCUAUGUCUGUGCAAAGGGGUCGCGGCAUGCCUCCACGUGGAGCAGGUCCCCGUGGUGGUGCACAGCGAGGAGGUCCUGGUCGAGGUGGAGCCGUGAGGGGGGCUCCCGCUGGCAGAGGUGGACCUCCACCCACUGCACCCCCAGGCAGAGGGGGCGCCGCCACACGGGCAAGGCCCUCUGCACCCCCUCCCCAGAGGAUGCUGCCUUCCUCAGCACUCUCUCACCAGCACCACCAGCAACAGCACCAGCCUCAACAUCAGCACCAGCAUCCAGCAGCCCCCGAGUCCUAUGAGGAAUAUUCAUACGAUGAAACCUACCCCGAAGGCUCUUACGAAGGGUAUGACUACAGCCACUACAGUCAGCCUCCCCAAGCAGAGACUGAAUACUAUGACUAUGGGCAUGGAGAGGCACAGGAGACGUAUGAGUCCUAUGGUAUGGGUAAAUCUGAGGAUGACUGGGGGGAAGGUGGAUGGGCGGCAGGCCAGGGUGGUAAAGCAGCCGCUCCCCGACAGAAUAAGAAUGCCCCUCGGGCACAUCCGUACGCACGGCCUUUCUGAUCGCUGAGCCAGUUUCCCGGGCAACCGCAUCGAGUUCUAACUCCUUUUUAACGACUCAAAGGCUAUCUGCAGGCAGUGAGCCGUAAUUCUCAGCCAGGCCUCAGGAUAACAGGCCACAGGUAGGUAGCAGGCAGGGGUUGGUAUACAUUACCACCUCGUGAUCUUUGAGGUAAGGUAUGAUUUGAGAUGAAUGGUGUUGGAAUUGGUGGCAGAUAGGUAUGUGUGUAGCCAAGGGCAGAGGUUGUUUUUGUGGCCGGACUUUAUAUAGUGAUUUCUUCAGCCCAGCCCCCUCACUAACUUGCACAUUAAAAUUGGCUAAUGUACUGGCAUGAUAUCAAAUGUCAGGUCUUCCUCUUGUACACUGUUAGGGGAUAGUAUAUGGUUUACCACAACGAACAACAGCCAAACUUUUUAUUACCUUGUGGCUCGUCUCUAUUUCUCCCUUUCAAUUAUUCCACAACAAGAAAUUUGACAACAUACAUUUUAUUGACAUAACAGCGUUGCUUGCCAUGUCAUAGUUUGAAUGGCACAUACUUGAGGUUUCCCAAGUUUUGGAUCAGGCUAUCUGAUCUUUUUGAUUGUGAAGUCACGUCAGAGUGGUGAAAUUCAUGACUAACAGCUUGGUAUAGAGCUCAACAUUGACUACCUGCAGACUUGUUUCAGAAAGUAUAAAUACCAUUAAUUUUCUCCAUUGAGAAUUUGAUUAUAACAGGGUUCCUACGCAGUAUGGAAAACCUGGAAAAGUAUGGAAUUUGAUUUUGGUAAUUUCCAGGUCUGGAUAAGUAUGGGAAAAAAGAAACAAGGGUAUGGAGAAAUAUUUGUGUUUCCAGACUAUUGCAUUUGCAGUACUAAUCACUUCACUCGGGCCAUAAUGAACCAUUCCUACUGUUGUGUAGCAUAACUGUCAGUCCCCAUCGUCAAGAUACAACUAAAAAUGACCCAGCUAAAUGGACUAAUAUUAAGUGUCAUUUUUAAUUCACUUCAGUUGUUUAAUACCUUUGUUUUCACCGUGUUAUCCCAAACCAUAAGUGGCCACAAUGUUAAGAAUAUGGUCAGAAAGAUCAACCAAAGUAUGGAAUUUUCAAAUGCAAAAUGUGUAGGAACCCUGUUAUAAGCCAUAAUAUCAUAGCUGUCCAAGAUGGACCUAAAACUAGCUAUGUGACUAAAAACCUGAGGUAGUGAGGAGCAGUGAGUGGCCAUCCAAUAAAUGUUUGUCACCUUGAAAGUUGACUUUGCUGAAUGCAAACAGGAAGUUGGUCAUCUUUAUCUUUACCUUCAAGUGGUAGCGCAUUAAACAGUCAAACAUUGGAAAAUUGUUCACAAUGGGAUACAGUGGUUCCUUUGCUGCUUAGCUUGGCUUAUUUUGCAGCUAGGUAACUGAAUGUGGAGAAGUGUAAUUUAGUCAAAUGAUGCAAAAUCCGAAGUUGACAAAAGACCCAAGUUACACCUGUAAGAACCCGGAAUAGUGAACCUGGCCACAACUACGCAAUACAAAUAGCCCUUGCUUAAUUGUUACGAUUUUGAGGGGGUCCCCUGAAAUUGUCCCUCCCUCAGAACCAAAAUGUUUAAGAAUCUUGGGCUUAAUCAAUGUCUUGAUAAUUAUAAAAUGACUUCAGCAUGAAACUUUUUUUGGGGGGUGGUAUUGACAUUAGGAAUCAGGGGGAUUCGACUUCAUGUAGCCACUUGCAGACGUCUUAAGCUGACUGCUUAAUGUGAUUAUUUUCUGUGAUUCUGAUACAUUUUCAACUAUGACUGGUUGAAAAUGUACCAAUCUCAAAAAUAAUCACAUUUUGCAGUAAGCUUAAGACUGCUGCAGGCUGUUGCAUCAAGUUGAAUCCCCCUAUUGUUGUGCACACACCAGUAAUAAUAUUGGGUUGAACAAGAUAUUUGAUAGACAUUUAGUCUGUUAGUCAGUAGAGCUCAGACUGACCACUGAAGUUUUUGAAGUUUUAUGUAUAUGUAUUUAUAUGUGGAAUAAUUAACUUCUCUUCCUUACCUUUUUUAGAAGCAACCUGGUCCUCCAGUUGAUAUUCAAUUGUAUGCUUUUCAUUUUGAGAAUACACCAAGAAAUUGCCUUUUUAUUAAAUAAAUGACUAAAUCGA